CUACGGGUCGCUCCAGUGAGGAAUAUUGCACAAUGGGGGGAACCCUGAUGCAGCAACGCCGCGUGGAGGAUGACGCAUUUCGGUGUGUAAACUCCUUUUAUAUGUCAAGAAAAUGACGGUAGCAUAUGAAUAAGCACCGGCUAACUCCGUGCCAGCAGCCGCGGUAAUACGAGGGUGCAAGCGUUACUCGGAAUCACUGGGCGUAAAGGACGCGUAGGCGGGCUUGUAAGUCAGGUGUGAAAUCCUACAGCUUAACUGUAGAACUGCACUUGAAACUACGAGCCUAGAGUAUGGGAGGGGCAGAUGGAAUUAGUGGUGUAGGGGUAAAAUCCGUAGAUAUCACUAGGAAUACCUAAAGCGAAGGCGAUCUGCUGGAACAUAACUGACGCUAAGGCGUGAAAGCGUGGGGAGCAAACAGGAUUAGAUACCCGGGUAGUC
rnacentral:rRNA from 1 species